CUCUCUAUCAGAGGACUGACCCUAGGUAAGUUGUAUAAAAUUUCUAGGCUUCAGGGUCAUCAUCAAUAAAAUGGGUUAAUGAGACUUAUAAAAUACUUUUCAGGAUAAAAUUAGAUUGCAAAUAUGAAAUAAACUAAUGCAGGAAUGUUUUUUCUUCUUUGUCUUUUUCAUUUGAGAGAUGACCAGACCAAACUAGGGGUGCUGUCAGUGAUCAGGGCCAGAUGUGAGUAGACCAUGAAGAAUAUUAUGCGCUUCUCCUGUUAGCAUUCUGAUAUUUGUUCCCAGUCACCUUCAUACAUACUAGGUCAUGGUCUUUUCCUCGUUUGUGAACUUUCAUAUAGCCACCUGAUUACAUUCUUUUUUUGCAGGAGUUAAAAGUUUUGAUCAGAAGUGAAAGGUGGAACCUAUGAUUUCAAGCCCCAAGUCUUAAUUUAUCGUAAUGCCAUGUGUCCCUAACCUUCUUGUUCAUUCUUGUUCACCCAGAAUGUUCUAUAGAAAAUCAGUCUGUGAGUGCAGCUUUGUACUUGAGGUGAUGGAGCAUAAUGUAACUCUUGGAGAUGGCAGGAAAUACUUGCAAGAAAAAAGUGGGUGUUUUUAUUCAGAAGCACAGAUGUCCCCUCCCCUCCCUGGGAGUGCUCUAGGAUGCUUUGAAGCUCCUCAUGCUAUAGGUGAACCAGAUAGACUUAUUCAUUAUUUCCAAAGAGGAUAAUUCUGAACAGUGCUAAAUGGCAUCCCGCAUCAUAUUGCCUCAUCUCGGUAUUGAUUGUAUCCCAGUAACAAUAGUGAUGGGUUAUAAGUAGUUUGGGAGUUAGAAUGAAGAGCAUUUAGGUCAAGCAAGAUGGACCUUUUUGAGGGUGCAUGAUCUUACUUAUCUUUUUAUAUCAGUGAUUUUGUUUUAUUUUCCGCUUAGAAUUCCCGUGCAUGUUGAUUGUCAUCUGUCGUUCUUAGUCUUAGAUUCACGUACAGGGAAGAGAAAAGGUUUUCAAAAUUAUUUUGUACGUUGAAAAACAUUUACCUUUGACAACCAGGUGUCUGAUGAGUGCAUUUUGAUGUGGCUGCUAAGAAUUAUGGGCCAUGGCUAUUUAAAUUAGUUCAUUCUGAGGCUGGAUAUAUGUCAGCACUUCAUGUAUCGAUUCUUACUAGGAUGAAAUACAAAAGAUUAGGAGACGUACUAAAGACUGCAGCUUUUCUCCAAGAUGAAAAUCUUUCAGAUAAUUUUUUAAUGAGGAAAGCCUUUAGGAGGCAAAUUCAGCAUUUAAAAUGGCAUGUGGCUCUUGCAGCACGUGACCUGUCCUUGUUUAUGGGGCCAAAACCUAUUGGCUGGAGUCACUCGUAUCAAUUGGGAACGUGCACUGAUGCUGUGCUUAAUUUUUGAGACUGAAAAUAUAAGUGACAAGUAUAAUGUUAGACAAAGAUAUAUUUCCUGCACUUCAGUAAUGAUUGGCUUUGCUUUUGAAAACUUGAAUUAUUACCAUUUAGUAUUUCGCAAGCAUAUUUAAAAAAAUUCCUCGGGGCCAUCUGAAUCACUUCUUUGGUUAGAGUAGUCAAAGAAGAAAGCCUGCGUUAUCUUCUAGAGCUGUUUCCAUGUCACAGGUGUGGGAAAUGUGGUUCACAGAUGGAGAGAGAGCAGCUGUGCCAUGGGGACCACAAGGGUGUCCAAUAAGAGCACCUGCCGAUGGGCAUUUUCCGCAUGGUGGGGGGAGCUACCAGUUGAAGGAGUAAAAACCUGCCUACCCCCCUCCCAUUGUGCUCAGAGCUUUUUUAGGGGUUUAGGCUUAGCCUGUGGAACCGUAAACCUCUGACUGUUAUUUCUCAGCUCUUGACACAGCCUUUCUCUGUACUCACCUGAGAGGGGUUGGCAUUUCUCAUCCUGCUGCGUCCCCCCACCCAGCCCCCACCCUGGAUUUUUCACGUGAUACAAAGGAUACAUUAAAUAGAAAUAGUCUGACCACAUUGAAUGUCACCAAGAAGUAUGUUUUUCCAGGUGGACUAAUCAUGUCCACAAAGCCUUUAACCCUGUUCUAUGCAUUUUGGGCACAUUCAUAAACAGUGAUUUUCCUCCGGGUUGGUUUCUGCUACAUCAGUGUCUAGAGAAGCUGAACAUUUCAACCCUUUCCGCAGUGACAGGUGAUGUGUCUGAUUGUUUGCUGAUGGUGAUUUGGAAUAUUGACGCUUCAGAAAAAGAACUACAUCGAACAGACAAUCUGCACAGCUCACAAACUACACAAAGAGCAUUUGAUAUAAAUAAAGUGUCAACCGGGUGCUGCAGCUUUGUGCAGAAUCAUUUUCAAAUUUUCCUUUUUGAAUUAUUAAAUAGACCAUGUCAGAACAACUCUGAUUAUUAUCCAAUCCAUAUGCUUCAACACCAACCUUUUAUGUAAUACCAAGCGACUGCAGUGAUCAAUUGGACCAAUCACGGAGGCUCCCUUGUUCUGGAAAGGAUUCAAGCCCUCCACCACACCGCCGCAGCAUCUUUCUGCAGAUAUGCAAACACCUACUGCAUUGCUUACAGAGGAGGCCACAGCAGGAUCUGCCUUUAGGAAUGCGUGCAGGCUGUGAAAAUAUAUUUAGUACCUUAUCAAGAACUUUAAGCCUAAGUCCAUCUUUUUGCAAUUUUAAGCCUGUUCAGGUGAGUUAGAAAUCGCACUAUUAACCAGCUAUACCUCCAUCCCGCAGAAUUAUGUACAUAACCUAUAUUGUAAAUAAAAUGUGCUAGUGCAUAAUUUUGAAAACCAUUGUAUAAGAAAUAACAUGAGAUCUUUGAUUUUUUUUUUAAACAAAUACAGUCUCUCUUGGAAGCAGAGACUGGCAUGCAGGCAUGUAGCCACGUGUAAUUUAUAAAAUGUGAUAAAAUGAUAAUCUCUCACCUACACUAAUAGUUUGUGUAGAUAAAUAACUCUUAGAAUGAAUACUGUGAAUGCCUUUAGGGUUUUAGGCAUUUAAUUAAAAUGGAACAAAAAUAUUAAGUGCUUUGGGAUUUUAGCAUCCUCUCUUGACAAGGAUGUUCUUUAGUCUGAGGACAGAUUUGUGACAAUCACUCGGAGCAAACAUGAGGGUAUUUUUCUAGUCCUCAUGAAAGAGAGGCUAAAGAUGCAUGGUAGUGACAUCUGCAGACGACAUGGUUUCCGGAGAACGACUCUCUCCCCCGCCCUCGUCCCUGCCCCACCCCUGCCCCUGAAGCCCCUUCCCAGGGCCUGAAACUGAGGGUGGAAUUCAGGGGGUCUCCCUGAUAAUUGCCGGCGAUUGGGGGGAGCGCUUCUCUGCGGCCCUUUCGCCAUGUCCUGAUGUGCCCUGGUGUGUUGCUCGCAGUGACUGCACAGGCUUUGCUUCCUCCUGACGGUGUGUGAUUUUGACGUUGGACACAGGGAGGCAGGGUGAAGCAGUGGCAGAGACCAAGCUAGGGAAGAAGAGCCAGCAGAGGCCCUGGAGCAAACUGCCUUCCAGAAUGCGGGGAGUGGAGGGGGGAGAUUACAGGAGGCUGGACCGCGGCCCACUUAACCCUAAAAACACACCCCGAGCUGCAGUGCCUUAAGCGUAUUCAGUAAUGACUCCUUUUAACUGUUCCAUUGUCUACUGACAAUUGAUUUGGGUUUUCUUUGAGUCAGUUUUUCUAAGAAAGCACCGGUUACCUUUAUGUGACAGACCCUGCCUCUUUAAAUACAUAGAAUGAACACUCUAUACAUAUCAUGUGUAUUUCUUUUGUUUAUGUUUGCUCUGUUUUAUAGGCUUUGGGACACAAAGAAAGAAAAGCCUUGUAGUGCAAUACUAUCCUAUCAUUGAACAAAUUAAUCUGGGUAUUUGUCCACAUUUGAAAGCAGAUGACGUGCUGACAAAGCAUGAAAUUAUUACUAUAAAUGAACGUGGUACGAUAUUUCUUUCUUUUCUUUUUUUUUUUUUUCACAGCAGGCUCGAUGUUCAUCUAACUUGAUUUAAAGGCCCUAUUGCAUGUGUGUAGAUUUUCAGCACUCUUGAGAGAGAUAGGAAAUGGCCCAAAAGCUUGAGGAAAAAAAUAAUGAGUAAGGAGUAAGAUUUUUCGAAUCACUUUAAAUUCUAGUUAAGAAUAUUCAUUUUUUCCUGUGAUUUCACUUUUGGAUCUGGAAAAUGGGAUCCUUUCUAAGAAAAGGAUGAUUGUGAUGGGACUUAAUAGUUACUUUGUGAAAUAAUUUCAUGGACCUGGAACAAAGAUGCUAUUCAUAUAGGCACAUGUGAGGUGAUACGUUGAUAAUCGAUAACAAACCAAAGGCAGUAGGUCAGAGAUGUGUGUAUGUGCACGCGUGCGCGCACGCGUGUGUGUGUGUGCACGUGUGUGCCCUUUUUCUCAUCAUACCUAGAGACUCAGACAACAGUUAUAAUCAAAUUCAAAAUAUAAUGCUCAUAAUUUCAAGUGGAAAAGAUACUUGAGCAGUCUUUUGUUAACAAUCCAAGUUCAUGAGCACAUCGCCUGUUUUUUUUCUUCUAGGUGUCUUUUAGCCAUCAUUGUUGACAAACACUAGCCCCAAAAGGUAUAUUCCAACAUUUCAGAAAUCAUUGUUGGGGGGAAAAAAACAGAGUGGGAAUAAUGUUCUAUAUAUAUAUUCCUCGUGGGCAAUGGAAAUAAGCUCUUCUGAUUCCCUAGUCUUUUAGCCUCCCUCCCCUCCCCUCUUCACUUGAUCACAUUAUUCACACAAAGAACCAAUGAGCCGUUGUGCCAUUACCUUAAAAUCCUAUAUUAAUGAGCCAGCUACAGUUUUUAAUCAUUCGAGUUAAGCCUUGAAUAUUCUAUUUGCUAGUACCAUGCAUCCAUUUAAGAUGAGAACGAGCAUUGUAUUAUAAUGUUUUAUUUGCAAAUAGUGAGUAAAAAACUGAUUUUUCCUUUUGUAAAGUUGUCAAAUGUUCUCAAGAAAGCAUUUUAUUCUUGAACUAAUUUUAUCUCUAAAAGCA
rnacentral:lncRNA from 1 species